ensembl:miRNA
UCUGUGGAGGUGAGGUAGUAGGUUGUAUAGUUUGGUGGGAGGGAUUUGAUCCCAUUUCAGGUGAUAACUAUACAGUCUAUUGCCUUCCUUAA